rnacentral:rRNA from 1 species
AACGAACGCUGGCGGCAGGCCUAACACAUGCAAGUCGAACGCCGUAGCAAUACGGAGUGGCAGACGGGUGAGUAACACGUGGGAACGUACCCUUCGGUUCGGAAUAACUCAGGGAAACUUGAGCUAAUACCGGAUACGUCCGAGAGGAGAAAGAUUUAUCGCCGAGGGAUCGGCCCCGCGUCUGAUUAGCUUGUUGGUGAGGUAACGGCUCACCAAGGCGACGAUCAGUAGCUGGUCNGAGAGGAUGAUCAGCCAGACUGGGACUGAGAACGGCCAGACUCCUACGGGAGGCAGCAGUAGGGAAUUUUCCACAAUGGACGAAAGUCUGAUGGAGCAACGCCGCGUGCAGGAUGAAGG